rnacentral:lncRNA from 1 species
UUCACAGAUUUUUCAUUUUGCCAAUUUCGACCCCUCAGCGAAUAUUUCGCGAUUUUUGAAGAUCCGUCCGUCGGAUUUCCGAUCAGAUCAUGACAGCGCGUUCAGCAUAACUGGGGCAACGAACUCACAAUUUCGUUUCACCCAAUAUGAUCGCUGAUUUGCGACGAAACCUAUCUACUCUCCAAUUAUCAAAAAUCCCUUUUUAUGAUAAAAUUUCUUUUUCUCAAG